UACGUAGGGGGCAAGCGUUGUCCGGAAUUAUUGGGCGUAAAGAGCUCGUAGGCGGCUUGUCACGUCGGGUGUGAAAGCUCGGGGCUUAACCCCGGGUCUGCAUUCGAUACGGGCUGGCUGGAGUGUGGUAGGGGAGAUCGGAAUUCCUGGUGUAGCGGUGAAAUGCGCAGAUAUCAGGAGGAACACCGGUGGCGAAGGCGGCUCACUGGACCGGAACUGACGCUGAGGCGCGAAAGCGUGGGGAGCAAACAGG
rnacentral:rRNA from 1 species